rnacentral:lncRNA from 1 species
AUCAACCAUUCAAAAGAAUAAUUAAUUCACAAUUUAAAUCCAGAUUCAUUAUAAAGUUCAUACUUUACCAUAAUAUUCAAUACAUUUUCAAUCAAAAUUAAUUUCCAAAUCUAAUUCAAACCAAUUUGCAAUACAACUUCCAAGUUCAACCAAAAUUCCAUUACAUCCCAUUCCACAAUCCAAGUCAUUGUCUAACCAUAAACCAUUUACAAAUAACAAUUCAACUUCCAAAAUUCAACUUAAACCCAUGAUGCCACUCCAAAGUCG